rnacentral:rRNA from 1 species
UACGUAGGGUGCAAGCGUUAAUCGGAAUACUGGGCGUAAAGCGUGCGCAGGCGGUUUUGUAAGUCUGUCGUGAAAUCCCCGGGCUCAACCUGGGAAUGGCGAUGGAGACUGCAAGGCUAGAGUUUGGCAGAGGGGGGUAGAAUUCCACGUGUAGCAGUGAAAUGCGUAGAUAUGUGGAGGAACACCGAUGGCGAAGGCAGCCCCCUGGGCUGAGAUUGACGCUCAGGCACGAAAGCGUGGGGAGCAAACAGG